rnacentral:rRNA from 1 species
UACGAAGGGGGGCUAGCGUUGCUCGGAAUCACUGGGCGUAAAGGGGUGCGUAGGCGGGUCUUUUAAGUCAGGGGGUGAAAUCCUGGAGCUCAACUCCAGAACUGCCUUUGAUACUGAAGAUCUUGAGUUCGGGAGAGGUGAGUGGAACUGCGAGUGUAGAGGUGAAAUUCGUAGAUAUUCGCAAGAACACCAGUGGCGAAGGCGGCUCACUGGCCCGAUACUGACGCUGAGGCACGAAAGCGUGGGGGAGCAAACAGGG